ncrna:Rhodobacterales bacterium Y4I SAM/SAH riboswitch
UACCUGCCACAACGGCUUCCUGGCGUGGCGGGCUGAACCUCAAUGGAGCA